rnacentral:tRNA from 1 species
UGGGGCGUGGCCAAGCGGUAAGGCACGAGACUUUGACUCUCGCAUCGCAGGUUCGACCCCUGCCGCCCCAGCCA